GGCCAGGUGGCGGAAUGGCAACGCAUGCGAGACAAAUAAUAGAGCCUGUAACAUUUCCUCGCAAGGUCUCCGUUCAAUUCGGGGUCUGGCCU